rnacentral:rRNA from 1 species
UACGUACCGUCCAAACGUUAUUCGGAAUCACUGGGCUUAAAGAGUUCGUAGGCGGCCCAGAAAGUUGGGUGUGAAAUCCCUCGGCCUAACCGAGGAAUUGCGCUCAAAACUACUGGGCUAGAGGGAGAUAGAGGUGAGCGGAACUGAUGGUGGAGCGGUGAAAUGCGUUGAUAUCAUCAGGAACACCGGAGGCGAAGGCGGCUCACUGGGUCUCUCCUGACGCUGAGGAACGAAAGCAAGGGGAGCGAACGGG